AGAAGGGGGAAGGAGAGAUAAAAAGGGUUAAAUUAGGAGAAGAUAAAAUAAGCUUUACUUGGCUUAAAAAAAGGAUGCAACUGAAAGAUUUUACCUUAUAAAAAAGUUCAUAAGAGAUAUUUAUCAAGCUCAAGAGGUGUUGCAAAAUAAAACCAAAACUGAAGUACACAAGGGAAAGCUCAAUGAUAGAAGAUCAAAAGAAAAUAUUUACACAUCAAACUUUCAACAGUUCCCUCAGUUCUGGAAAGACAAGUAAAUGAGGUGGGAAACUCUCCAAGAUCAAGCAUCAAAUGCCCCAAAUGUGGUAAAAAAAUAAAGAAAUGUUAUUUGGAUUAUUUUAAAAAAUAAAGAAGGAUAAGACAUCACCCUUCAGUGAAUAAGCCAAUGAUCUACCAUCUUUAGAAUCCAUUUAUCCACAAAGUCCUAUUUUGAACUUUCAACCUUGCAAUUCAUCAGUUGUUAAUGUGUUAAAACUUUUGUCUUGCACUUGUAUCAUGGAUUUUGAUAGUUGUACUCAGUGAUGAAGAGAGAGAGAGAGA
rnacentral:misc_RNA from 1 species